rnacentral:rRNA from 1 species
AUAGAUAUGACACAGAACACCGAUAGCGAAGGCAGCUCACAAAAGUACAACUGACACUGAGGCACGAAAGCGUGGGUAUCAAACAGGAUUAGAUACCCUGGUAGUCCACGCUGUAAACGAUGAUCACUUAGCUGUUUGCGAUACAUUGUAAGUGGUUAAGCGAAAGCGAUAAGUGAUCCACCUGGGGAGUACGUCGGCAACGAUGAAACUCAAAGGAAUUGACGGGGGCCCGCACAAGCGGAGGAGCAUGUGGUUUAAUUCGAUGAUACGCGAGGAACCUUACCUGGGCUUGAACGUAUGGUGCAUGAGUGUGAAAGCACUCUUUCCUUCACAGGACUUCAUACGAGGUGCUGCAUGGUUGUCGUCAGCUCGUGCCGUGAGUUGUUAGGUUAAGUCCUGCAACGAGCGCAACCCCUGUUUUUAGUUGCCAGCAGGUUAUGCUGGGCACUCUAGAAAGACUGCCUGCGCAAGCAGAGAGGAAGGUGGGGAUGACGUCAAAUCAGCACGGCCCUUACGUCCAGGGCUACACACGUGCUACAAUGGUCGGCACAGAGGGUGGCUACCCGGCAACGGGAUGCUAAUCUCCAAAGUCGAUCUUAGUUCGGAUCGAAGUCUGCAACUCGACUUCGUGAAGUUGGAUUCGCUAGUAAUCGUAUAUCAGCCAUGAUACGGUGAAUACGUUCCCGGGCCUUGUACACACCGCCCGUCAAGCCAUGGAAGUUGG